rnacentral:lncRNA from 1 species
UUUUAAAAUCCAUGUACACAGCUUCUAUAAAUAGCUUGACAUUCACCAAUGUUUCCUUAUUUUGUAUUUGUUCUGUUUUAUGAGGAAAAUGUGAUCCAUCACUAUAAGAGAAUAGUUGCAUUAAGAUUAAGUCAUUAAUCUGAUGUAGACUGUUUAUUUGGACUGUUUGUUAGGACUUUGGUGAAUGAAGCCCGGUGGAGAUUAAGGAGUGUUUCAUUAUUUUUUUUUUUUAUUUAUUUCAUAGAAAACUGGACGCACAGUUCUGCUGGCCGGUCCUCCUGCACGUUCAGCUGCUGUGGCGACAUCUAAAUCUAUAUUUGGAUCGGGAUAUGAAUCUGGACAUGGACCAACUGAUAAAGAUCUACGGGAUUCUAAAAAGAGCUUUCUUUCUUCUCGACGGUUAAGCGCAGGAAAGCUGAGCAAGAAAAAGGGUCGAAAAAACUGAAAGAUGAACCCAUCUGAUCAUCAGCAGUGAUUGAACUAAAAAAGUAAUGUAAAGAUUAAAAUGAGAUUUUCUGUAAGUCUGUCAGUAAUGAUUCUAAUAAAAUUAUUUUAAAACAAUAUGUUAUUGAGUUA